rnacentral:rRNA from 1 species
UACCUGCAGCCCAGGUGGUGCUCGUUAUUAUUGGGUCUAAAACGUCCGUAGUCGGCUGAGUAGAUGCCCGGGUAAAUCGCAGCGCUCAACGUUGCGAAUUCCGGGUAGACCGCUCGGCUAGGGAGUGGGAGAGGUGUGAGGUACUCUGAGGGUAGGGGUAAAAUCCUGUAAUCCUUGGGGGACCACCAGUGGCGAAGGCGUCACACUAGAACACGUCCGACGAUCAGGGACGAAGCCCUGGGGCGCAAACGGG